UACGGAGGGGGCUAGCGUUGUUCGGAAUUACUGGGCGUAAAGCGCGCGUAGGCGGACUUUUAAGUCGGGGGUGAAAUCCCGGGGCUCAACCCCGGAACUGCCUUCGAUACUGGGAGUCUGGAGUUCGAGAGAGGUGAGUGGAAUUCCGAGUGUAGAGGUGAAAUUCGUAGAUAUUCGGAGGAACACCAGUGGCGAAGGCGGCUCACUGGUCCGGUACUGACGCUGAGGUGCGAAAGCGUGGGGAGCAAACAGG
rnacentral:rRNA from 1 species